rnacentral:lncRNA from 1 species
UUAAAGGGACAUUACCAUAUAUUCUAAAAUACAUAAUGCAGUUGAGAUUGUGCAUGCAUAGUUAUAUCAUGUAAGGCAUGUCCUGGUCAUUGUUUUAACUGAGAAUUUAAGCAUGAAAUAAGGAGAUAUGACUUUGUGUCUGAAGUGGAAACAGGGUUUCUUUGGAGAGUCAGUUGAAUCAGAUGGUGUUUUGCUGGAGUAAACAUGUGAAGGAGUGUUUUCCUGAAGCAGAUACAGGUGAAGAGAUGUUCCCCUUAAAGCAAGCACAUGAAAGGACACGUGUUUGCUAGAAGAUAUUGUGUUGCUGAGCUCUGUUUGUUGUAAUUCCAUAGAAAUAAAUGCACCAAAAAACUUCUGGUGGUGUGCUGGUAGCUUCUUGCCGCUUCCUCAGAUUCAGGCUGAUUGGCAGAGUGAUGGCAGCUAAGACAGACUCCUGUGAAGUUUUGCUACAGACUCACAGGGUGAGGUAAGACCCAUGGGAGGAUACAUGAUAUUUGGAGGGAGUAUAAAUAGGACCCAGCAGACAGUGAUGGCAGGCUUGCAUAGCUAGCUUUGCAACACUUCUUAGUCUUGUAUCUCUCUGAUCUUCAAUUCACUGUCCUGGUGUUCCUGCUGGUCCUAAUUGUCCUGGCAUCCCUGCUGGUCCUAAUUGCCCCUGCUGACUCAUGCCAAUGUGGUUGAGGCCUGGCUGUUUCUGCUAGCUUGUGACACUGUUUCUGAUUUGUGUUUGCUAUCCCGACACUACUGAACUGGACUGCUGGGAUAUUCAUGAAGUGUUUACUAGUGGAUGGAGCUGGCACUUCUGAUUCCUGUGAGCUGAACUGCUGAUUUCCUAACAAUGCAGAUUGGAUUUGCAACAAAGAACAAUUUCUAAAUAAGUCCACUUCCCCUGUAUCCUAAUGACCUUUCUUUUCCACUAUCUCUGGUGGGUGAUGGGUUAUAAAGAAGGUUAAUGCAUUUAAGAACCCAUAUAAAAAGUAGGUUUUGAAAACAUCAAAGCCUACAUGUAUCAGGUUGAUAGAGGGUAGACUUGUGAUAACUAUUCUUGGUUGUCAACUGAACCACAUCUGAAGUGAACUAAAACCCCAAGCAGCUGGGCAUAUCUGUGUGAGAUUGUUCCCGACUGGAUCAUCUGAAGUCUGAAGACCCACCCUCCAUCUGGGCCACACUUUUUGGAUAUGGAAGAAGGACGCUCUUGCUUUUUACCUGCUUGUUCUCAUUCUCACUGGCAAGUUCAUUCAUCUUUCUACUGUGGCAUUGCUUCAUUGGUACUAGAGCCUACUUCUUUAGUAUUCUAAUUUAUACUGAAGACCAGCUGAGAGACCUUAUAGAUGACUGAAUAGCUACUAGAUUAUUGGACUUUUCAUAGACAGCCACUGUUGAACUAGCUGGACCAUAGCCUGUAUGUCUUUCGAAUGAAUCGUAUAUAUGAAUGUAUGUUUGUAUGUAUGUAUGUAUGUAUGUAUGUAUGUAUGUAUGUAUCUUCUGAAACUGUAAGUCGCCAAUUAAAUUUUUUUUUCCAGAGCUGAGGACUGAACCCAGGGCCUUGCACUUGCUAGACAAGCACUCUACCACUGAGCUAAAUCCCCAACCCCUCCAAAUUUUUUUUAAUAAGAGUUUCCUUCUUUUGUGAGAGUUUUACACACACACACACACACACACAGUCCGUUCCUUUGGGGGUCACAUAUCAGAUAUUCUACAUGAUCAGAUAUUUACAUUACAAUUCACAGCAGUAGCAAAAUUGUAGUAGUGGAGUAGCAAUAAAAUAAUGUUAUGGUUGGGAGUUCACCACAACUAGUAGGGUCACAGCAUUAGGAAGUUUGAGAGCCACUGCUUUAGAGAACUCUAAUAUAAACAUACUAUCUAAACAUUCAGUUUAUACCAAUCUACAUGCCACUUUGAAGAUAGGUUUUCAGAUGAGAUUAACAUUCAAAUUAGUAGCUUUUGAGUAAAACACAUUAUCUUUCAUAAUGUGAGAAGGCUGAGAGAGGGAAGAGAGAGAGAGAAUAAUAAAAUA